rnacentral:rRNA from 1 species
UACGUAGGGUGCGAGCGUUCAUCGGAAUUACUGGGCGUAAAGCGGGCGCAGGCGGUUGUGCAAGACAGGUGUGAAAUCCCCAGGCUCAACCUGGGAACUGCAUUUGUGACUGCACGGCUGGAGUGCGGCAGAGGGGGAUGGAAUUCCGCGUGUAGCAGUGAAAUGCGUAGAUAUGCGGAGGAACACCGAUGGCGAAGGCAAUCCCCUGGGCCUGCACUGACGCUCAUGCACGAAAGCGUGGGGAGCAAACAGG